UUUCCAAUAAACUUAAAAGAAUGUGAUAUAACUAUUCCUUGUCAUUUUAAUUAUUAUUUGAAGAAACGUUGCAUAUAUUACUUGGUUAUCUUAAAUUAAUUCCACGAAUCGAAAGAUAGAAAUAAUACUUUAAUAAUAAUUUUAUUUGUAGAAAUUUAUGCGAAUUUUUAGAAAAUUUAUAUUUAUGAUAAACAAAUAUUUUGCCGUAAGAUUUCGCAAUCUUUUGACACGAAUUCUCGAAAAGCAUUAUUUUUCAGAGAUUCCCCAGUUUGUCUUUGUUGCAAAAUUUUUUCGAAUAUAUACCACUCUUUUUCUUCUUCCUUCUUAAUAUUGUUUCCCUUAAAAAUUUAGAUUUAUAAUACAAUAUAAGAAAUUAAUUUUAGAUAUAAUUUUAAUUACCUCGAUGAGAACAUAUAAAAGACCUUUGCUUGUACUGCCACGUAACAUAUAAUUCUGAUAAUAGAGACAGUUUAUCAAUUCUUCAAAAAUAUUUUUCGUUAAAUGAUUGUCUAAAUAAAAAAGAUCUUAUUUCAGAUUUCUCAUUAUUCAAAAUAAAUUAUAAAUAUUUACAGCUUAAAUCUAAGUAUUGUAAUUCCAAGUUUCCAAUUGCCAUUAUUUCUCCAUGCAUUGGAUAACUUUCUUUCCUAAAAGGAUGGCAUGGCAUUUCAUCUUCCACUAUUGUUUUAAAUUUCUAUGAAUUUUAAAUUAAAUUUAAAAAAAUAAUCAAUCUAAAUCAUGCGUUGUUAAAUAGUUUCUAUAGAUUUCAUUCAUUACAUUCAUAAAAUCUGAAUCUUCAAUUAAAUUUCCUUCUUCUUUUAUUAUCAUUGAAGAAUCUUGAAGAGCUAAAAAAAUAAUUUAUUCUUUUAUAAAAAGGAAAUUGAUAUAUCAAGGAAGAAAAAUAUAUCAUUUUUACGAUAUACACAUUUUUUAGAUCGACGAUUUUGCCGUGUUUUAAAUUUAUUAUUAGCAUUUUUUUUUAUUGAUUCUUCAUUUAUGUUUUUAUCAAUUUCUUCCAUUUUUCUCUUUUCCAUCUAUUAAAUAUUUAAUAAUUAUAUGAAAAAAAUUUAUAUAUUUUUUUUUAAAAAUUAUGGAAAAAGUUUAAUAAAUAUUUGAUUACCCAUUCAUCCAACAAUGCCAGUUCAGCGAAUUUUCUACGACGCAGCUCUACAAUUUCUUCAUGUUUUAAAAUAUUAUUUAAAUGGAUAUUGAAUAAUGAACAAUGAACGAAAAGAAUAAAAAAUAGAUUGCAAUAUAGUACUAUCAUAUUAUUAUAUUUAUUAUGUUACAUUAUAUUUUGAAUGCUGUAACAAAUUUAUAUACAUAUAAUGAAAUAAAUUUGUAAUUACAAGAAUAACAAUUUUUAUAAUUGAUCCUAAACAAUAUAAUAGCUUAAAAAGGUAAAAUUUUUGGCCUAAAAUACGAUUUUCUAUCAGGAGAAUAUAAUUGACUGGAGAUAGCUCAAGAGGUUUUUUCAAGAAUUUUGCCUGGAAAAAUUCAACACAUCAUUAUGAAUAGUCAAAAUAUAGUUAAAUUAAUUAAUAAUUAGAAAAUAUGUAAUUCUAAUUGUAAAUUAUAUUCAUUAAACGUCAUUUUUCAAUACAUAAA